rnacentral:rRNA from 1 species
AGUGAACGCUGGCGGUAGGCCUAACACAUGCAAGUCGAACGGCAGCACAGUAAGAGCUUGCUCUUACGGGUGGCGAGUGGCGGACGGGUGAGGAAUACAUCGGAAUCUACUUUUUCGUGGGGGAUAACGUAGGGAAACUUACGCUAAUACCGCAUACGACCUACGGGUGAAAGCAGGGGAUCUUCGGACCUUGCGCGAUUGAAUGAGCCGAUGUCGGAUUAGCUAGUUGGCGGGGUAAAGGCCCACCAAGGCGACGAUCCGUAGCUGGUCUGAGAGGAUGAUCAGCCUCACUGGAACUGAGACACGGUCCAGACUCCUACGGGAGGCAGCAGUGGGGAAUAUUGGACAAUGGGCGCAAGCCUGAUCCAGCCAUACCGCGUGGGUGAAGAAGGCCUUCGGGUUGUAAAGCCCUUUUGUUGGGAAAGAAAAGCAGCAGGUUAAUACCCCGCCGUUCUGACGGUACCCAAAGAAUAAGCACCGGCUAACUUCGUG